rnacentral:rRNA from 1 species
GAGCGUUUUUCAUGUCGUGGCGGGGGCGGUGGCUUACUAAGACUAAGAGGGCUCGGGGUAGCGGUACCGCGGAGACGGGGCGCCCUCCAUUAUUCGCCGUUGUGUUGCGUUUGAGGGUCGGGUCUCGCUCGGGCGCUCUGGCUCCGCUGGUAGGGGCGGGGGGAGAGGUAGGGGCGGGCUCGGGAGAGCGGGUCCGGCCGCCGGCCCUACAGGAGCAGCAGGCGGCGGCGGAGGCACGGCCCCCGGCGCGGCCGCCUGCGGGAGGCGGCGUUGGCAUAGUAGAGGUCGUUCGAGAUGAAGCUGCACGGCCCGAGGUUCCGAGGCCACCAGAUGAGCUGCCGCAUGCUGUAGCGGAAGGAGCCGUAGCUCUUCUACGUGGGCAAACUAAGGAGGUUUACCCCGGCGUAUACGUCCAAGGAGUGGUUUCUUCCGGUGGACCUCUUCUUGGCUCACCACCUCGGUAACCUCCGAAGGUCCCUUCUAGACGACCACCAAGUGUGCCUCCGUAUGAACUUGUCGGAGUUCUCGUCGAAGUCCCAACGUCGGUAACAUCUCCAAGGAGGUGAUUGAGAGUACGGAUUAACCGAGCAUGUCGUUUCCGAUGACAUGGGGAAGGCCUUUGUCCACCCACCCAGGUAAAAUAGUCGAUUUGAACGCGAACUCUCUCCUACCCGUUAAUUACAGCCACCUCCCAAAGUGGUAACAAGCCGCCUCCUUCCCCCUCCUAAAACACGUAUGCGACUAUAAAGCGAGACGUAAGUCAAACGCAAACAGGCAGACCUAUAAAGUUCUCAUUACUAGUAUCUAGACCUACGAGUGGUUCCUUUACCAGUACUCUUCCUAAAACGAUUACUACCUUCCCAAAUGUAAAACCUGUACAUGUUACGACCUUAAAUAGGCAAACUAGUACGACGAUUCGCUAUAUAACUAGUCUUUUAGCUCAAUCAAUCACCCUGUCUUUGUCUACUAAUGAACCUAGUCGAACUGUUCCGAAACUUCCAGCGGGUUUGAUCUAAGGUCCGGGUCGAAUAAUAAAUAUUACGACCCUGUCUGUAGGACCUACCACUAGGUAACCCGUUGAACUUCUAUUCGGGACUUCCACACCACUAGUCUCUACUCUUCCACAAGUCUAAACGUUUUCUAGUCUUGUAAGGUGAACAGUACUACUGUAGUCCUCCGAUGUACUUCAGCUCGCGUGCACACUAGCGUCUAAGCUAAUGGUUAGAGAGUGUCUUCCUGAACUAUGUCGAUCCAUCGGUCGGUCUUAUUUGCUCCUCGGAGACGGCGGGUGUUCACAAGUUGGACUUCCCGUGUAGGUGACCUACAUAUCAGACAUUCUUCUCUAAUGCGUUACCCCUUCGGCUCUCGCGGUACUACUGUUCUCUCUGUUGUGGACCUCUAGGGGCAACUAGGGGUAGUAGUUUGAUAUGACAUGCCCAAAGUCAAUGAGGAUAAAAGAGCACCCUUCGGUUAUUUAUGACGAAUUUCUCAAACGUGACAUAUCUAGAACUUCCAAUAGUUCUUCUCUAUGCCAUACUACAAAAACAGCGCGGCCGAAAGGACCGUUCUGCCGAAAGUAGCGGCCGAACAACCUACCAAAUGUCAAUAAUAGACAAAACAUUAAGGACGAUGAACCUUGAACCAAGGAAGAGAAAACUACUGUCGAGAGCCGCCUUUCUGUGCCUAUCAACUUCGACGGUCCUCUGGUAGAACCAGCAACCGUGACUCGGUGGCUCGAAGUAGUAGGUCACGAACUUAAACUACGGUCUGAUAAGGAAAGGUUAUUUUAAGGAGCCACGGAUCUCGGGAUCUG